ensembl:rRNA 5S_rRNA 5S ribosomal RNA
GAUUACGGCCAUACCACACUGACAACGCCCGAUCUCGUCUGAUCUCGGAAGCUAAGCAGAGUUGGGCUGGGUCAGUACUUGGAUGGGUGACUGCCUGGGAAUACCCGGUGCUGUAAGCA